CCCUGUGACGGUGUUAGAAGAAAACAUCAAUAGACGACAGUGACCAUCAUGUUUGAUGUUAGUUUUACAAAUUUGAAACCAUGACGAGCAAGUGGAUAUUUGUUGUGAUCUUUUGCGUCCUAACAAUUUCCACGAACAUCGCUGACAGCAUAUGCUGCAAUAGAAUUAAGGAAUUGGUGCAAAAAAAGAAAAACGCCUUUGCAACUCUUUGUGCAUCAGGAAACAAUCUCCCUCAGGGUUGCUGUGACGAUAUUAAGAAGGAAGUAAAGUCGUUUGAGGAUGCAUACCAGUCGUUAUGUGUUAAUUCAUCAAACAUCCUGGGGAACUCGAGCAUUCUAAAGAAUAAGCCGCAAUGGAUAACUCAGCUUCAAAAUGGCUGCCAUCGAACUUAAGAGGUCAUAAGACGGUGCUCUGUUACAGAGCAACCGUGAAUGGUUGGAGCUCAAACAAAUUCCACAGUCUUUGUGACUCGAAG